rnacentral:lncRNA from 1 species
GCUCAUCCUGCAGCCCUGGUAACUUUCUGGGCACUUCCAACUGAAUUUGAGGGAGAGGUGGAACAUUAGAAUCCAUUUAACUCUGUGAAAAUAAUACAAGGAAGCAUAAAAACACUUAAACCAGCAUCUCUGCACAGAUCAACAGCUGGACAACAUAUUAAUGAUUUCAUCCAGACAAGCCAAGCACCUCUACGUGAUUUGGGAUAAAUCUAUAAAUCCUUCCUUUCUCCUCUGUCUGUCUUCAAAUCAUUCCCUACAACACACUAAGGAUUUCAUCCAGACAAGCCAAGCACCUCUAUGUGGUUUUGGCUGCUGCCCUACAUCCUUUCUCCUGUGCUUCUCUUGCAAUCAUUCCCUACAGAAGUGGAGGAGACUCUCCACAAAGAAGCAGGUUGGGCUGUGGCAGGGACACUCCCAGCUGGCUCCUUCCUUCUGCCUGAGCCACGACCAGGAGUGAGAGAGGGGCAGCAAAGCAGAGCCCUUGGUGGGGUUUGGGGUCAAGCCAAGCACUUGCUGGGGUUUGGGUCAGAGCCCUUGGUGGGGUUUGGGUUAGAGACCUUAAGUGGGGUUUGGGUCAGAGACCUUAGGUGGGGUUUGGGUCAGAGCCCUUUGGUGAGAUUUGGGUCCAGCAGAGCCCUUGGUGGGUUUUGGGUCAAGCAGAGCCCUUGGUGGGGUUUGGGGUCAAGCCAAGCACUUGGUGGGGUUUGGGUCAGGCAGAGCCUUUGGUGGGGUUUGGGUCAGGCAGAGCUUUUGGUGGGGUUUGGGUCAGAGCCCCUGGUGGGGUUUGGGUCAGGCAGAGCCUUUGGUGGGGUUUGGGUCAGAGUCCCCUGGUGGGGUUUGGGGCACAUUUGCUGUGAGCAGCCCCUGAGUGCCUGUGCACACCCCUGGUGCCCCCAGCCCUGCUGCCAGCUCCGUGCUGAGCUGCUCCCAACCCCAUGCGAGGCUCAGCCCCUGCUGCUGGCACUGGGACACGGCCCCAGCACAGCUCAGGGCACCACACACACGUUGCCAUUUCCCAGCUGGGUCAGGGCAGCCAGGGCCAGAGGAACACAGCAGUCAGGCUGUGAGGAAAGGCUGGAUGUGCUGAAUCCCUCCAGGAAGGCUCUUCUCCACCCCCUUGGAAUUAUUUCCGAAUUCUCCAUCUAUUUAGGAACUCACCCAUGUGGACAGCAAUGCAACUUUAAUGAAUUUGGCUUUCUAGUCACCUUCCACAGACUCCUUUGGAAUAAUCCCUGGGCUGGAACCCCAGAGGCAGCGCCUGGAACAAGGGCAUCUCUGCUCUAAGCCUUGAACCAUUGGUUCUCCUUGUGAAAUUCAAAUUGCUGCGCUCCCAUGCACCACAUUCCAGCUGCUAUCCCACGGAAUCUGCUGGACAGGACUCGGGUCUGGCAAACAAAAUCAUGGAAUCACAGAGUAUCCCGAGCGGGAAAGGACCUGCAAGGAUCAUGAAAUCCAGAAAACCCAAAAAUCCCACUCUGUGCAUCCCUGGGAGCACUGUCCAAAUGUCCCUGGAGCUCAGGCAGUCAGGAGAGAUUCCCCAGGCUUUUCCCAGACUCCAGCUGCUCAUUCCUUGGAGUCUGCAGAAAGGACAGGGCACUGCAGCAAAAGAGGUGGGAGAAGAAGGUGGAAGACGAACAUUCUGUGGAUAUUUAGCAACAAAAAAGAUGCUUAUGAGCAACCAAGUCUUUGAUUUGUAUCUGCUGUCCUGGAAAUACUUAAUGGAGGUAGGAGAGCAAC